GUUUAUGUAGCUUAAUUUAAAGCAUGGCACUGAAAAUGCUAAGAUGAGACUUAAUUUUUCCCCAUAAACA
rnacentral:tRNA from 1 species